rnacentral:rRNA from 2 species
GAUAACUACUCGAAAGAGUAGCUAAUACCGCAUACGAUCUGAGGAUGAAAGCGGGGGACCUUCGGGCCUCGCGCGAUUGGAGCGGCCGAUGGCAGAUUAGGUAGUUGGUGGGAUAAAAGCUUACCAAGCCGACGAUCUGUAGCUGGUCUGAGAGGACGACCAGCCACACUGGGACUGAGACACGGCCCAGACUCCUACGGGAGGCAGCAGUGGGGAAUUUUGGACAAUGGGCGAAAGCCUGAUCCAGCAAUGCCGCGUGCAGGAUGAAGGCCUUCGGGUUGUAAACUGCUUUUGUACGGAACGAAAAAGCUUCUCCUAAUACGAGAGGCCCAUGACGGUACCGUAAGAAUAAGCACCGGCUAACUACGUGCCAGCAGCCGCGGUAAUACGUAGGGUGCGAGCGUUAAUCGGAAUUACUGGGCGUAAAGCGUGCGCAGGCGGUUAUGUAAGACAGAUGUGAAAUCCCCGGGCUCAACCUGGGAACUGCAUUUGUGACUGCAUGGCUAGAGUACGGUAGAGGGGGAUGGAAUUCCGCGUGUAGCAGUGAAAUGCGUAGAUAUGCGGAG